AAACAUGUGCGGCCAACUUUAGGUGCAACAAUUAGGAUUUUUGAAAAAUGUAUCCUUCUGUGGUUAAUCAGUGAAUUGCACAUCGAACUGUGUGCUUGCCGUUUGGUAUUUCUCCAUUGAUUCCAUAGUCCGAAUCAUCCCCUUUUUGAACUAAUCAAAAUAGGGAAUCCAUUUAACCUUAAUGAUUGAAAGGGUCAAAAAAGCUGAAGAAAAGCUUGCAUUGGUGAAUGUGUUUUUCUAUCUGUUACUAUGUCCUUCUCUAGGUGCAAGGAGUUCUUUAGAAGUGAUAGGCCAUAACAGAAGUAACAUCAAUAUUGCCAGAGGCAAGGCUGAAAGAAAUUAUGACUGAAUAAAGGCAGGAUAAGUUCUUGAUGGUAGCUGAAGACGGGUGUUGGAAUUUGUUGAAUAUUCAUGUGCUAGCUUCAUAGCAAGACAGUGCAGCAAUGGUAGGGUGCUGCUAGAUGCUGUAUGCCAGUAUAGGUAUUCUUGAAUCUUGAGUGUCUUUAUUUUCUGAUCAAGGAGAUUGACCUGCGAGAGAAUAUGCACUUAUUAGGACUUGACACGGAUGCAACCAUAGUAGGUUUCUUCUGCAUUCGUUAAGCAAUUACUGUGCGCUUUAGGUUGGAUAAUAAAAUGGUCAACAACUCAUUGAUUGAUAUAAAAUUACCUUGCUUCUUUCCAGACUGAAAACAUGUUUCUUAAUUUUUUAUAGUCAUAUCCAGGGCUUUGUUGAAGAUCAGUUUGGCUUAGGGCUUAUUGCAAGGGCAGUUGAAGAAGGUACUUCUGUCAUAAAACCAUCAGGUAUUAUGAUUUCCAACAUGGGAGGCCGUCCAGGGCAAGCUGUUUACAAAUAAUUAUUCGAGCGUCGUGGUGUUCGCGUUAACAAGCUUUAGCAAACUGAAAUUCUUCAGGUGGAUGCAUUCUAUUUAAUUGAGAUAACAGUUACGACAAACUAUGCUUCUAAAUAGUAGGUUAAUGCAGGCAGCUGACAUGGAUAUAUCAUCUUUAGUUGAAAUUGAAAAAAACAUCAUACAUCAGUUUGAAUUUUUCAUGGUACUUGUCGGAGAUCAGCCUAUCUGUGCUCGAACAGCAUAGGCCUAUGGUAAAGUUGGUGGUCGUAUCUCUCAUGCUUUAUUUGUGUACAACUGUCAACUUCGUCGGCCAUGUCAGGUAAUUCUUAAAGAGCGUACAUAUGUUCAAAUCUGAUAAUUGUUUGAGGAUAUAUUAAAAAGAACUACAAAGGCCCGUAAAACUGAUUCAGCUGAACUGACAAGUCAAAAAGAUAUUUGAGUUCAUAAAAAAUGGAUUCCACGAUAUCAGUAGCUCUCUGGAUUUAUCAUUUGAAGAUGAUGCUGUAGCAGAUGAGAGGAUCAACAUGCUUAAGGAGAAUUUUGUUUUCCCAUAUGAAUCACCAUCUAGAAGUAGACGGUUCCGCAAUCUGAUUGCUGGGUUUAUGAAAAUGUACCACCAUUUUCCUCUUAUGGCUGACGUGAGAUUGUUAACUUUGUCAUUUUUCUUUUUAUUGCAAGAUUCUUUUGCUGAAAUAUUGGAGAUUAAGAAGGGUUGCUGCUAGAGAUGGCCUUGUAGAAUGCCAUGUGUGGAUAUGAAGUUUGUUUUGUGAAUGUGAGCAUAUAGUUUUCAUUUAAAGGUUAUAGACUUGUGUCUGUGUAAAUCCAUAGUUGUCAUAUUCCUCUGUGAAGUAAUCUAGAAAAGCAACUUCCUUUAGUUUUCUGCUCAGUGUUUUCAGAAACACGUGUCAGCCUUAUAAAGUUGCAAUGGUUGGUGUAAAAUGCAAGUUAGGAUGCACUGACGCUGUCGUUUUCAUGGUAAGACAUCAACGGGAACUGUAAGUUCUAUGGAAAAUGUAAUGAAACUAAUAAUUUGUUUAGUAGAAUGUAUUUGGGAUGUCAUUUUUGUCUUGAGAGACUCAGGUUUAGAUUGUGGAUAUCUCAUGGUUGUUUUCUUCAUAGACGUUACCUGUUUGUGGUCUAUGACAGUGAGAUACCACUGAUAUCUUAUUCUAAUUUGUAUACAAGUUUGUGGAAGGCACAAUACAGUAGGUUUAAGCUUAAACCUAUUGGUUUUAUUGCUUUCUUUAACAUUAUAAGAUCGCCCGUGCGUUGCACGGGCACGGGCCAUCUAGUACUAUAUAUAAGUGAAAGUUUGGUGGUACUAGGAAGGAUAUUCUUGGUAUUCAAUUAUAAUCCAUGGGAAUUUCUGUUAAUAUAUAUUUUAAAAUAGCCUCAAUUGUCAUCUCUAUACAUGUACACUGAUUGGUGACCCACGUAGGCUACACUUACCACCUUUAUAACAUAGGUGUAUCUUUUUAGCUGCUUUUUCAUUUGUUUAUUCUUUGUUUCUCCCUCCAUGGCGUUUCUUAUCUCUGCUCAUUACUCAGAUAUGUAACAAUAAGAUGAAAGCUAAAAGUUACCAGAGAAAUCAGAAAAGGUUAAGCAAAAGCUACAUCUGAUAUGUAACAAUAAGAUGAAAGCUAAAAGUUACCAGAGAAAUCAGAAAAGGUUAAGCAAAAGCUACAUCUGGUGUACGAAAUACCUAAAGAAACAUGUCAAAGUGUUAUCUGUUGCUCGCUCAUUCACCUGUCGUCCCUCAAUGGCCUUAACCAACAAGCUCUCGUCUGUAAUUUGAUUUCUUCAGUGUUCUUGCACUAACAACUGUUGCUUUUUAAUAUUUUCUACUACUGCUGCUUAUUAUUUGGAAUGCUCAAAAUAUUCUCAUUUCUCCUUUGAAUUUUCUUAUUCUGAAAAACUUACAAAAGGUUAACAAGCAAAUCACUAUAAAGAUAAAAGUGAUCUCCAUACACUCUAAAACUGUCCCUAAAAAAUUUUUGUUACGUAUGUGUAACCUGUUGUCCAUUCCUAAUAUAUUUCUUCCAAUAUAAAUAAGACAGAAUGUUACACCAAGUAUGUUGUUGUAUUAAGAGGAAGGAAGGGCAUGGGGGUUGCAAAUGCAGAUUUCUUAUCAAUUUUGGAAUGUAUAAUACAACUACAAGUCUACAAUCACGUCUGACUGAAGAGAAAGGUUUAACCAGACAGAUUAUCUGUAGCUGCUGAAUAUUGGUCCUAGAGUAUCAUGAAAGUGUCUUAUGUUUGAUAAUGAAGUCGGGCCAAAAGAAAAAUUUACUGUCUGGCUGCACCUCCAAAACAGGUCACUCACAGCAGACAAAUUGCUAAAGUGGGGAGUGAUGGUUAAUCUUAUGUGUAACUUAUGCUAAAGACAACCAGAUACAAGAGGUCACUUGUUCAUGAGUUUCCCUGAAUCAAAGAACUAUGGAAAAGAAUCUUAUAGUGAACAGAGGGGCAACCUAUUAACUACACAACUUGGGACCAUUACAUGUAAUGGAGUUUCAACAAUGCUAAAGGACACUCACUAGCUGGAGUAUUAAGUUGGUCUAUAUAAAAGUAGUCUAUGUUGUAUGGAUUGAACCAAAUUAACAUGAGGCUGCAAAGAUUUGUAGAGAUUGGGUGGGUGUGGCCAGACACAUAGUUUGUAUAUGCAACUUCAGAGAAUCCACCAAGAUCAAAGGGCUUCUUCAAGAUAUGCAAUUCUAGAUUCUUAGGCACUGCUAAUCUACUCUUUCUUUCUUUUAUGUUUAUUAGCAUGAGUAGGAGGCAACCAAGUCAAAUAUGAUAUCCCAACAAUUUGUGGUCAGAUGUUGGUGCUGUGUAAAGACUAUCAAAUUUGGUGAUCAAUAAAAGUUUGAUUUACCAAAAUAAGAAGUGUUGAAAUCCCUAUGUGAGAAUGAGAUACUUAUGAAUAUUGACUGGGAAGACGUAGUAUUGAGUAUGUGAGAAUGUGCUUUUAGAUCUUUUCUACGAUAAUGAAAUUUUCUUGGUGAAUGUACAUUAAAUAGACCUCAAUUGGAAUACAAAUCUUGGAAGCUCAAUUUAAGCAAACUAUUUCAGGGCUUAAAAUAAUUAUAAAUUGAUGAAAUCAUGACUACUGGAAUUAAGAAGAUAUUGAAGUUCCCAUCACCCGAAGCUUUCUUGUUUCUUUUGUUGAUCCUCAGGGACGGUGUCAAGGGUGGCGGUUGAGGUUGGAAGGAGAAAGAGGAUAAUGAGAUUAACUUUAGUUUUUGUCGUUUUUUUAAUCAUUUUGUUUAUGAUAUUGGAAGCUAACUUAUUCACUUUUACUUUACACGUUGAUUGCCUCAUUGGAAGAGAUUAUCUAUUAAGCGCAACAUUAUCUGAUAAGAACAUUGUACUAUUAUAGAAUCUAUACUCUUGUUGCUCAUCACGGCUUGUUUUCUACUUAUGCCUUGAAAACUUUAGUUCUGUACAAUUUUUACUUUUUCCAUUAGAUGCACCCUUAACAGUGAGUUCUCUUGACAUAGUUGAUGAUAUUUCAGAUUUCUAUUUGAUAUUGGUGAAGCCUAAUGACUAAUAUGGUGAAAUUCUAGGCUCUAUAUAAAUUUUUAGACUACUUCAGCAAGUUCAAUUGGGAAAAUUACUGUGUAGUCUAAUUGGGCCUGUUCGUAUAUCCGCUUUACCAGAAUCUGCUGGUAAGCAACAUGUUCAUUUUUGUUUAUGCUCUCAAGUAGUAUUAAAGAUGGGAAGCAUUUCAAGUAUCCUUUCUUGACUGGAGUAUCAAGUUUGGUAGCAUUUCAUGGUUUCUAUACAUGUGUAAUUCCCAAUGAAUUAUCUGUAUAUGUUAUUGUAAAAGGAUGACUUGAAACUUUUGAGUA